rnacentral:misc_RNA from 1 species
AAGCCCUCGAGCUCUCAACUACAAUUCAAAGUCUAUUAGGAUACUAUAAGACGGAAUGGCUGAUGCUGCUAAAUUUUCAUUAUUGAUACAGAUUCUUCUAAUAACUCUUUGUUCACUUAGCCUGCUUUGCACAGCCUUCACUACUCAAGAUUAUACUGAUGCUCUUGAAAAAUCCAUCCUAUUUUUUGAGGGUCAGCGGUCAGGAGUGUUGCCGCCUAACCAGAGGCUCAAAUGGAGGGGCAAUUCUGGGUUGUCUGAUGGCUCUAGUUAUCAUGUGAACCUAGUUGGUGGAUACUAUGAUGCAGGAGAUAAUGUCAAAUUUGGCCUUCCUAUGGCCUUUACUACUACAUUGUUGGCAUGGAGUGUCAUUGAAUUUGGCACCUCAAUGCAUAACCAGAUUGAGAAUACCAAAGCUGCCAUCCGCUGGAGCACUGAUUACCUUUUAAAAGCAGCAACUGCCACCCCCGGCACCCUCUAUGUUCAAGUUGGAGAUCCGAACUUGGAUCAUAAAUGCUGGGAGAGGCCUGAAGACAUGGACACACCACGCAAUGUGUACAAAGUGACCACUCAAAAUCCUGGAUCCGAUGUAGCUGCAGAGACAGCUGCUGCGCUGGCUGCUGCAUCAAUUGUUUUCAAAGAUUCUGACCCUUCUUAUUCUUCCAAAUUGCUUCAAACUGCAAUGAAAGUAUUCGAUUUUGCGGACAGGUACAGAGGUUCUUACAGUGAUUCUCUCAGUUCAGCAGUCUGCCCAUUUUAUUGCUCUUACUCGGGGUACCAGGAUGAGCUUCUCUGGGGUGCAUCCUGGAUUCAUAGAGCCUCACAGAACGGCUCAUACUUGGCCUACAUCCAGUCAAAUGGUCACACAAUGGGUGCUGAUGACGAUGACUACUCUUUUAGCUGGGAUGACAAGCGAGCUGGGACAAAGAUUCUUCUUUCCAAGGGAUUCUUAGAUAAACGAGUAGAAGAAUUUCAGGUAUUUAAAGCACAUUCAGACAACUACAUAUGCUCCCUAAUUCCAGGAACUUCUAGUUUCCAGGCCCAAUAUACCCCAGGUAAGUAAUUUUCUCCUUCCCUUUUGCGUUUCCGUCAAUUAUAUGGUGAAACUGAACGUAAUAUUUAUACUCUGCAGGAGGCCUUUUCUAUAAAGCAAGUGAAAGUAAUCUACAAUAUGUAACUUCGACAUCUUUCCUUCUCUUGACAUAUGCUAAAUAUCUUAGCUCCAAUGGAGGAAUUGUCACGUGUGGAGGUUCGACAGUAACAGCUGAAUCACUGAUAUCACAGGCCAAAAAACAGGUGGACUACAUUUUAGGUGAUAAUCCAGCAAAAAUGUCUUACAUGGUGGGUUUCGGAAACAGGUAUCCUCAACAUGUGCACCACAGGGGCUCCUCCGUACCAUCUAUACAUGCGCAUCCAGGGCGCAUUUCCUGCAACGAUGGCUUCCAAUACCUCUACUCUAGUUCACCUAAUCCAAAUGUCCUGAUUGGAGCCAUAAUAGGUGGUCCUGAUAAUAGAGACAAUUUUGCAGAUGAUCGAAAUAACUACCAACAAUCCGAACCUGCUACAUACAUCAAUGCACCAUUUGUUGGUGCAGUUGCUUUUUUCUCAGGAAAAAACUGAGGGAUUAGUAUCCCUCCAAUAUAAUAUAAUAUUGGAUUAUAUACUGUCACUUCCAAGCAUAGAAGAGACGGACCAUUGAGUCCACUACUGCUCCAAGCUAUCGUAUUUAUUUCUCCGAGAAGCGCUGAAAAAUUCUUAACUUCGUUCCUUUUUUUUUUUUAUUCCUAAUCUAUUGAUGAGAUGUCGCAGAUACAUACAGAGGCGAUGAGUGAAUAUCUAAAUGAAUACUUCUAUAGAAGUGAUUCACUACAAAUUUCCCAUAAAAUUUUGCCCAAGUUGGGAGUCCCCAAUUACACUAAAAUUAACAUUACGUAA